rnacentral:lncRNA from 1 species
GCAUCGCGUCGGGCUGCGUCCAAUUCCACGUUUCCACCGAUGCAGAACACGGUGUGACUUCUACAGACGUCUCGAGUAAAGCUGGGAAGGAGCUGCAGGAGCCUCCUACGCCAUCGCUGACUGUCCCUCUCACAGCUGCUGGCCUCACCGCAGGGCAGGGAUGAGCGCGCUGUGUCGCGUGGCCGCAGUGCCCCAAUGCCCCGACCCUGCAGCACACAGAGGGAUGGCUGCACCGAGCACACUGCUGGCAUCACACACCUGGAGGCUGACCUGUGCUCGGGCUCCCCACACGUGGAUGCCUCCAGCGGGGAGCACCUGUGGGAGCUGCCCUUUGCGCCG